GGAUGUGCAGGAGCGCAUCCACCACAACACAAGGGGGUCGCCCGGGUCUCCCUGCCCGGGCGACUCUUCC
rnacentral:ncRNA from 1 species